UUCCGGUUGAUCCUGCCGGAGGCUACUGCUAUUGGAAUUCGACUAAGCCAUGCGAGUCAAGGUGUCUUCGGACGCCGGCAAACGGCUCAGUAACACGUAGGUAAUCUACCCUCAGGACUGAGAUAACCCCGGGAAACUGGGGCUAAUACCAGAUAGAUAAAAGAUACUGGAAGGUUCUUUUAUCCAAAGCUUUCGUGCCUGAGGAUGAGCCUGCGCCCGAUUAGGUAGUUGGUGGGGUAAUGGCCCACCAAGCCUGCGAUCGGUACGGGCAGUGGGAGCUGUAGCCCGGAGUUGGGGACUGAGACAAGGCCCCAGGCCCUACGGGGCGCAGCAGGCGCGAAACCUCUGCAAUGCGGGAAACCGUGACAGGGGGAUUCCAAGUGCUCAUGCAUUGCAUGGGCUGUUCUUUGGUCUAAGUAACCAGAGGAGUAAGGGCUGGGCAAGACCGGUGCCAGCCGCCGCGGUAAUACCGGCAGCUCGAGUGGUAGCCGCGAUUAUUGGGCCUAAAACGUUCGUAGCCGGAUAAGUAAGUCUUUGGUUAAAUCCUACGACUUAACCGUGGGAAAUCUAGAGAUACUGCUUGUCUUGAGACCGGGAGAGGUUGGAGGUACUCCCAGGGUAGGGGUGAAAUCCUGUAAUCCUGGGGGGACCACCUGUGGCGAAGGCGUCCAACUGGAACGGCUCUGACGGUGAGGGACGAAACCUAGGGGAGCGAGCCGGAUUAGAUACCCGGGUAGUCCUAGGCGUAAAUGAUGCGAGUUAAGUGUGGGGGCAUCUACGAGAUGGCCCUGUGCUGUAGGGUAGCCGUUAAAACUCGCUGCCUGGGGGAGUACGGUCGCAAGGCUGAAACUUAAAGGAAUUGGCGGGGGAGCACCACAAGAGGUGGAGGCUGCGGUUCAAUUGGAUUCAACGCCGGG
rnacentral:rRNA from 1 species